CUGCCGCAGCUGCCGCAGCUGCCGCUGGAGCUGCAGCGGAAGCAGCUGCAGCUGAGUUUUGGUUUGGAAUCUAACUUGCUUUAGCUUGAAGAUCAUCGUCAGUUUUCCAUGGAUCUAAUUUCUUAUCAGCCCUUGAUUUUCUUUUUCCUUGUUAAUUGCCAUCAAAGUACAGUGAGUAGUGAUUGCAAGACAUCAUGUGAUCUUCCUUCUUGUUUGCAUGUUCAUCAAAGCAGCCAACACGAGGGAAAAAACAUAGCAAGGAUUUUCAUCAUGCUAGGACAGGUCCUUGUUUUUGCACAUGGUUUUGGUUUGGGGUAAUAUAUUUAUUUUGGCGUCUCGGUGUUUCUGUGACCGUAGAUCCCAAGAGGUUUUUCCAGCUACUAAUUUCUUAUUAGCUCUUCUUAUAAGGUUUGAUAGGUGGUAAGAGAAAAUAAAGUCCCUAAUAAAUGCUAAAAAGUCAUAACAAAACUCUUAAUUAAUACUAAAAAUCUUGUUAAUUUGAAUGAAGGAAAAAUGGAUUUGGG
rnacentral:lncRNA from 1 species